GGCCAGACUCCUACGGGAGGCAGCAGUGGGGAAUAUUGCACAAUGGGGGAAACCCUGAUGCAGCAACGCCGCGUGAGUGAAGAAGUAUUUCGGUAUGUAAAGCUCUAUCAGCAGGGAAGAAGAUGACGGUACCUGACUAAGAAGCCCCGGCUAACUACGUGCCAGCAGCCGCGGUAAUACGUAGGGGGCAAGCGUUAUCCGGAUUUACUGGGUGUAAAGGGAGCGUAGACGGCAUGGCAAGUCAGAUGUGAAAGCCCGGGGCUCAACCCCGGGACUGCAUUUGAAACUGUCAGGCUGGAGUGCAGGAGAGGUAAGUGGAAUUCCUAGUGUAGCAGUGAAAUGCGUAGAUAUUAGGAGGAACACCAGUGGCGAAGGCGGCUUACUGGACUGUAACUGGCGUUGAGGCUCGAAAGCGUGGGGAGCAAACAGGAUUAGAUACCCUUGUA
rnacentral:rRNA from 1 species